AUUGAACGCUGGCGGCAGGCCUAACACAUGCAAGUCGAGCGGAGCGGCGGACGGGCGCGUAAUGCAUAGGCAUCUGCCUGGUAGUGGGGGAUAACGGCCGGAACCGGGCGCUAAUACCGCUAACUAUCAGAUGAGACUAGGUCGGAUUAGCUUGUUGGUGGGGUAAGGGCCUACCAAGGCGACGAUCCGUAACUGGGGGGAGAGGUUGAUCAGGCAAACUGGAACUGAGACACGGUCCAGACUCCUACGGGAGGCAGCAGUGGGGAAUAUUGGACAAUGGGCGAAAGCCUGAUCCAGCCAUGCCGCGUGUGUGAAGAAGGUCUUCGGAUUGUAAAGCACUUUAAGUUGGGAGGCGUUACCAUCAGAAUAAGCACCGGCUAACUUCGUGCCAGCAGCCGCGGUAAUUC
rnacentral:rRNA from 1 species